rnacentral:misc_RNA from 1 species
AUGAGUUUUAUGAUGAUCAGCCAAAGGAGGUCGACCAGGUUCAUUCUUUCCAAUCCCAGUUGCAAUUAAUUUGGUCCCAUAAUUAAAUAUGGAAAAAAAUCAUAUUAAAAAAAAUCACCAUCAUCGUGGUCGUCGUACAUUCAAAUAGGUGUGUAUAAUUGGUACUGAUUCCUGAGCAGGGUCAAACUCCAAGGGGCUGAAGAGAAUGGCUAACAACG